rnacentral:rRNA from 1 species
UACCGGGAGGCAGCAAUGGGGAAUAGUACGCACAAUGCGGCGAAAGCCUCGAUGCGAGCAACGCCGCGUGAGCGAUGAAGGCCUUCGGGUCGUAAGCUCUGUCCUCAAGGAAGAUAAUGACGGUACUUGAGGAGGAAGCCCCGGCUAACUAC